UAUAUAUAUAUAUAUGCUUUAAGAUCCCACAAUCAUAACAGCAGUUUAUCAUAUCUUAUAUACAUUACACAGUGCUUAAAAAUACCAUUGAAGGGUCUACAUAUACCAUAACACAACUAGAUUGUCUUUUAGGCUUCUAUAUAAAAAUUGAAUGACUUGGAUGUCAAACACAGAUCAACCUUCUUGAUAGAACUUUGGUAUAUCAAUUAUAAAUAGAUUUUAAUUAAAUCCAUAAUAAGGACUUCUUGUCGUGGGUAUAGUUUAUUAUAUCCAGAAUUUUCAAUGGUAAUUCAAAACUUGAUUUAUUAGCAUACAAUCAUAC
rnacentral:lncRNA from 1 species